rnacentral:lncRNA from 1 species
GUUCGAGUUGUUACUUGAUUCUAAGUAUAUGUGUUUUAGAAAAGCAAACUGCAAAAGGUUGAAGAGUCUUACAAGUCAUUAUGUAAAAUGCAAUGUUGGAAGAAAUGGAAUUUCAUUAUAAAUGAGUAGUCACUAUCAAAGCAUAUUUCAGAUAUAGUGUACAUUCAUUUUCACAUUGAUUUGUUUUAUUUCUAGAAAUGUUUCUUAAAAAUUGUAUAUACUGUUUUGAGUGUAACGUAAUUGAUUUCUAACUUGUGUUAGGCUUAGUGUGCUGCUGCAUGUGUCUACCAUGGAGGAAAGUUCCCAAGCUUUGUCAGUGUCACAGCCACCAGUAGGGGCAUCAUUGUGAGAAUGUGAAACCCAUGCCUAAGAGCCACUGCAGUAAAUAUGUGCAGAGGCCUCUGACUGUGCUAAUGUGUUUCCCUUUUUAUCUUCAAUGACAUAUAUAGUAAGACUACUGGACCGAACUCUCCUGACUUGUAACAGUGGUGGCUUGUAUGCUUACAACUUUAUUCAGCUGAGUGAAGACUCUUUAAACCAGUGCCCAUAGGUGUGAGUGAUUUGUUCAAUAGCUUCCUUAAAUCUAGUAUUUACCAGUUAUUAAACUUGAUGAAAAUUGGGAAUUCAUUGUUUUGACACUUUUCUAGCCAUUCAUACUUAUUUCAACUCAUGAUGUACCCUGAACAACCAAAAAGUGAUCCAUGGUUAGUGUCAUAUUUCCUCUACCCCAGCAGUUACAAAGUUUAGCACUGCUAAAUAACUGAUGACUUAGAAGUUGCAUUGUUAAAUACAGUCACUGCCAAGGAUCAUCAAGGAGAUAGCUUUCUUUAACCUUUGGCCCAGAUAGUUGCUGCUUCCUGGUUUCCCUAGAUGUGCUAGCUAUAUAUCUGGUAUAUGUCUUCAUAUCCACUAUAGUAACAAUUGGGCCUAGUUUACCCUUUAAAAGUUUUUUGUUUUCCACUCAUAUACUAUUCCAGUUAUCUUCCUUCCCAAGAUUGUCUGGAUUCAUUUUCCCAGUGUUUGAAUGAGUUAACAAGAUCCCUCACUCCUGAAUCCUGUAGAGUCCUUUUUCAGUGCUAAAAUUGUUUUCCAAUAGCACUUUAUUUCAUGCCUACUACUGAUUUAAUUUAUACAUUAAAAAUAUCUAUCCUAGAGUUUGUAAAUACAGAAAAGCAAUUGAUUAGUAGUAGAGUUUAUUAGAUUGGCCCCAAGUUUAAAUGCUUUAUAAUGAUCUCUUGAUAGCUUCUUUGAUACUUAAGAGGUAACUUAUGUGACUUUAGCUCUGCCGUUUUCCUGUAAUUUGUAUAAUACAGUAGAGGCUGCCCAGCCAACUAUAUUGCUGGACUUAUUUCUCUCAGCUAGCUUCAGCCGAGCUUGGUUACUAAAACUGUUUUUGUGCUCUGAGUUUUGGACAUCACAUGAAUAUUUGGAAAUCUGUUUGUUUUCAGUAUAGUACCUAAAGAUUUAGUAGAUACUGCACCACAAGUUCAUAGUUUAUAUGAAAGACAAAGGGCAGAAUUUAUAAUAUUGUAACAGUUUAUAUUAAGCUGUUUUUAUAAUCUGCCAGUACAAUACAUCUGCUGUAAAAAUAUAAAAGUUGUCUACCCCAGUGGUCUCCAGCACAGAACACACCAAUUCUAAACUAUGCUGUGGACUUUUAAAUAAGAAAGGCUAGUUAUUGUCUUCUACAGGGUAGGUUAACUUUAGGCCUGAUAGCUUAUACUUAUCAGUACUGUUUUAAACAGGAGUUUAAAAAUUAUUUUUUUGUAGAGGGUAUUUUAAUUUGGGAACUUUCUUUUUUUGUAAUAGGUGCUAUAUGUAAAUAUGGAGUGAGAAGUUGCUUGAUUAAAGGUCUAGUUUAUUUCCUUAUUAAAAUACUUUUCAUUUCUGUUUCCAUUUCAUGGUUUCUGCUGAACUUAAUAGCAAAAUAGAAUUAGUCCCUUAAAGUUGUAGACUACCUUUUCUCACAGUUGUACAAACUAAUUUCCAUAUGGUUUGGUCUCAGAUUAAGAGGCAAAGAAGCUAAGAGUGAAAACAAAAUACAUAAGCUUGAAUUUGGUCAACACUGGACUAUUAGAAAUUAUCACUGUGCACUUGUCACUGCAGUUUACUUUGUGUCUGAAAGGCAUUGUGUGUGUGUCAUAAUUUCAGUGAAAAUUAGAAUUCCUGCCAUUCAUGUUUAAACAAUCCACACAUAGCAACAGUGAACAGGAUAAAAAUGCUGGUUUGCAUUGAAACUGUUUUAGUCCUAACCUCAAUUUAUAUUAUGCAAAAUACAUUUACAGAUAUUUUGUUGGUUAUAUUUCAUUUUGAUUUAGUACUUGUUCAGGUACAAAUGUGAAACGAAAAAAAAAACCCACCUAGCUGUUAAUGUUCAAUUGAAAAAUAAAGAUGCGCUUUAGUAAUCU